rnacentral:rRNA from 1 species
GACGAACGCUGGCGGCGUGCUUAACACAUGCCAGUCGAACGGAAAGGCCCUGCUUUUGUUGGGUUCUCGAGUGGCGAACGGGUGAGUAACACGUGAGUAACCUGCCCUUGACUUUGGGAUAACUUCAGGAAACUGGGGCUCAUACCGGAUAGGAGCUCCUGCUGCAUGGUGGGGGUUGGAAAGUUUCGGCGGUUGGGGAUGGACUCGCGGCUUAUCAGCUUGUUGGUGGGGUAGUGGCUUACCAAGGCUUUGACGGGUAGCCGGCCUGAGAGGGUGACCGGCCACAUGGGGACUGAGAGACGGACCAGACUCCUACGGGAGGCAGCAGUGGGGAAUAUUGCAAAAUGGGCGGAAGCCUGAUGCAGCAACGCCGCGUGCGGGAUGACGGCCUUCGGGUUGUAAACCGCUUUCGCCUGUGACGAAGCGUGAGUGACGGUAAUGGGUAAAGAAGCACCGGCUAACUACGUG